rnacentral:rRNA from 1 species
AACCCAAAGGACUUGACGGUGUCCCACCCAACUAGAGGAGCCUGUUCUAUAAUCGAUGAUCCACGAUAUACCAAACCAUUUCUCGCCAUUCAGCCUGUAUACCUCCGUCGCAAGCUUACCGUAUGAACGUACACUAGUAGGCCAAAGGAUCCUAACAUCAUAACGUCAGGUCAAGGUGCAGCUAAUGAAAUGGAAGCGAUGGGCUACAAUUUCUAAAUUAGAACAAACGAAACACUACAUGAAACAUAGUCAUGAAGGCGGAUUUAGCAGUAAGUAGGAAAUAGAGAGUCCUACUAAACAUGGCCCUGGGAUGUGUACAAACCGCCCGUCACCCUCUUCGAUAG